AAGGAUCAUUACCGAGUUUAGGGUCUUGCGUCCACGAACCACUCGUGGCGCGCCCGAAUCUCCCAACCCUUUGUCUACCUGACCGACGUUGCUUCGGCGGACCGUGCUCCCCCUUUCCCACAAGGAGGGGGGAAGCCGCCGGAUGCCCCUGCCAGGGCGUCUGGAGCGUCUCGUCCGCCGACGGCCAACCACAAAACUCUUGUACCAAACCGUGUCGUCUGAACAAAAACAUUUUUGAUUGUAUAAUCAUAAAACAAAACUUUCAACAACGGAUCUCUUGGUUCUG
rnacentral:misc_RNA from 1 species